AACGAACGCUGGCGGCAUGCCUAACACAUGCAAGUCGAACGAGACCUUCGGGUCUAGUGGCGCACGGGUGCGUAACGCGUGGGAACCUGCCCUUAGGUUCGGAAUAACUCCCCGAAAGGGGUGCUAAUACCGGAUAAUGUCUUCGGACCAAAGAUUUUUCGCCUUUGGGUGGGCCCGCGUUGGAUUAGCUAGUUGGUAGGGUAAAAGCCUACCAAGGCGACGAUCCAUAGCUGGUCUGAGAGGAUGAUCAGCUACACUGGGACUGAGACACGGCCCAGACUCCUACGGGAGGGAGCAGUGGGGAAUAUUGGACGAUGGGCGAAAGCCUGAUCCAGCAAUGCCGCGGGAGUGAUGAAGGCCUUAGGGUUGUAAAGCUCUUUUACCCGGGAUGAUAAUGACAGUACCGGGAGAAUAAGCGCCGGCUAACUCCGUG
rnacentral:rRNA from 1 species